GCUGGACACGGUGGCACAUGCCUUUAGUCCCAGCUACUCAGGAGGCUGAGGUGGGAGGAUCGCUUGAGCCUAGUUCUGAGCUGUAGUGUGCUAUGCUGAUUGGGUGUCCACACUAAAUUUGGCAUCAAUAUGGUGACCUCCCAGGAGUGGGGGAACAUCAGGUUGCCUAAGGAGGGGUGAACAGACCCAGGUUGGAAACGGAGCAGAUCAAAACUCCCAUGCUGAUCAGUAGUGGGAUUGCGCCUGUGAAUAGCCACUGCACUCCAGCCUGGGCAACAUUGCAAGACCCCGUCUCU
ensembl:misc_RNA Metazoa_SRP Metazoan signal recognition particle RNA